UCCAAUUGUUUUUUAUUCCUCUAUUAUUUCCCCCACCCUCAGGGUUGUGACUGCAGAGUGCCUGGGACAGGGUCUUUUGGCUUUCCUUCUGUAGCCCCCUGCACUUUGGCCAGAGCUGUGCAGUCUGACCCACAGGCCAGGGCGUGGUAGUAAAGGGCAAGAACCAGCUGCAGCACAAGUGGAUGGGAAUGAACCAGGCCUUUCUUUACUGUGAGGCACUCUGUUGUUUCAGGUGAUGGGACAGUGGAGUGCCUGCUGCCCUGAACUAUCUGUGGAUGGUGGGCACAGUUAGGCAGAGCUGGACCCCCUAGCUUGCCCAUGAAUACCCCAAAGGCAAGCACAGGCACCUGGGGGACUACACCAGCUCUAUGUCCUAGACAGGCAGGAAUGCAGUCUGUGUCCCUAUCAUACCAUGUGCCAGGGCUCAUGGCUUUCAGUUCAGAUGAACACCAGUGUCUGUCUCCAGGCCACAGUGGAGCGGAGACCAUGGAAACGCCUGUCCCACAGCUCUCUGUGGGAGCCGUUUUGGGAUAUAACCUUGACUCAGCCCGAUACAGACAGAUUUGUGGCUCACCUGUUCCCCAGGGUGAUAACUGCUACUCCUUUAUCUAGAGAUGUACAGACAGGUGGCAGGGGCCCUUCACUGUCACUGAAAGGUCUCUGCCUUUCAGCCUGUGUGGGCAUGUUUCAGUUGCAGUGAUGUCAGCUGGUUGGGUCAGAAUACUGUGACCUAUUGGGUCACAAUAGGCUACAUAAUUCUCUAAUUCCCAGGUCCCUAGACAGCCAGUGAAUGGAGUGCUGAAGUGACUGGACAGGGAUACGGCUGGCCCAGAGUUCAGGUGCUGGCUGUUACAGGGAGGGGUCGACUGGUCCCUGCUCGCCAUCCAAACUCUUAGGUGGGAGCAGGCAGAACACUGAGAGCCUGAGAGCAGAUAAUAGGCCUGUGGGGGCUGGGCUGUCAGAAGGGCUCCAAGCUGCAGCUGAAAAGGUCAGGCGAGAGCAGAGGCUUGUGCUGUGGCCCUUCCACUAGGGAGGGCAGACCACUGAGCUGGUUCACUGGAGACUGGCAGCUGUGGAGUGUGUGGCCCGUCGCACUUCCCUCCCACAGAAGCAGUGCUAGAUUUCGCUGUUUGGGGCCUGUGCAGGUGCCUGGCCUCCCUGCUCCUUCCCUGGGCCAUGGGUGGCAGGGGUGGAGGCAGCAGUGGCAGUGACUACUGCAUGACCCUCAGGGCUUAUCAGUGUUUUCCAGGGGUUGGGAUCUCAGGGAAACGCUGAGCUACAGGGUGGCUGUGCUGGUGCCCUGUUGCCAAUGCAGGCAUAUGCAAUUUGGCGGGGAGCAGCAGAAGUAGGGAGCCAUGCAGUGCAUAGUCUGCCUGCUCCUCCAUACCACAGUUGCAGCAUCUAUCUCUGGGGCAUGCGAAAGUGCCCAGCCUCCCUCUUUGGCAUGGCAGCAGCAGCUGGCCUUAGGCUGUUCAGGGAUCAAAGCCUGUGGGAUUCCACACAGGUUUGAGUGAUGCCUCUGUGCUAUACUCUGUACUCAUUAUUUUGAGUUCUCUCUGGGAGAAAGGUCCCCAGUAGCUGCUCCUAGUCAGUCAUCUUUAAGCACUUUAUAUUUUAAGGACAUUAGCACUUUAUCUGUAAUGUAUUUUGCAAAUAUUUUCUACUAGUUCAUCAGUUAUCUUUUGAUUUGUUUAUAUUUUGCAAUGCAAAAGGUUUUUUUCUGUUGUCAGAUUUAUCAAGCUUUUCUUUUAUUUAUUGAAAAGCCUUUUCCUACACCCAGCUAUAUUAGUUUGUUUUCACACUGCUAUAAAGAACUGCCUGAGACUGAGUAAUUUAUAAAGAGUUUAAUUGACUCACACUUCUGCAUGGCUGGGAGGUCUCAGGAAGCUUACAAUUAAGGCAAAGGGGAAGGGGAAGCAAGGUCCUUCUUCACGAGGCGGCAGGAGAGAGAGAAACAAAGGAACCACCAGACACUGUCACAAGCACAUCUUGUGAGAACUCACUCACUGUCAUGAGAACAGCAUGGGAGAAAGUGCUCUCAUGAGCCAGUCAUCUCUCACCAGGUCCCUCCCUUGACAUGUUUGGAUGACAAUUUGAGAUGAGAUUUGGGUGGGGACACAGCCAAACCAUAUCACCAAGUGUAUUAGUGAAGGUCCUCUAGAGAAACAGAACCAAUAGUUCCAAUGGCUGUCUCUCUCAUAUAUAUUCCCUUUCUCUCUCUCUCUCUCUCUCUCUCUUUCUCUCUCUCUGUGUGUGUGUGUGUGUGUGUGUGUGUGUGUGUGUGUGUUCACAUGGUUUUGGGGGUUGAUAAGUUCAAAAUCUGUAGGCCAGGUCAGUAGGUUGGAACCUCUUGGUCAGGAGUCGAUGCUGUAGUCUUGAGGUAGAAUUUCUUCUCCAGGAAACAUUAAUUUUGCUUUUAAGCCCUUUUAACUGAUUGGAUAAAAUCCACCCCAUUUUUGAGAGUGACCCUGAUCUUCUUUACUUAGAGUCAGUUUACCGUUGACGUUAACCACAUCUGCAAAGUACCUUCUCAACACAUAGUGAUACGGUUUGGCUCUGUUUUCCCACCCACAUCUCAUGUUCAGUUGUAAUCCUCAGUACUGAAGGUGGGGCCUGGUGGGAGGUGACUGGAUCGCGGGGGUGGAAUUCUCAUGAACGGUUUGGCACCAUCCCCCUUUGGUACCAUACACGGAGUGAGUUCUCAUGAGAUCUACUUAUUAUAAGUGGCAAGCACCUCUGCCUGCUCUCUUACUCCUGCUCCAACUGUGUAAGACACGCCUGCUUCCUCUUCACCUUCCGUCACAGCUGUAAGUUUCCUGAGGCCCCUCCAGAAGCUGAGCAGAAGCUUCUGUGCUUUCUGUACAGCCUGCAGAACCAUGAGGCAAAUGAACCACUUAAAAAAAAAAUAAAUGACCCAGCCUCAGGUACCUUUUUGUAGGAAGGUAUGAACAGACUAAUACUCAUAAAUCAUGUUCGAAUGAGUUACUGGAUACUGUAGUCUAUUCAACUAGCAUAUACAAUUAUCAUAGCUGUUAGGACAGAAAAGGUGUGUGGCUGCUUUUACCAGCUGAAAGCAAAUUCCUUCUGGUGGUCAUUACUAACAGAAAUUGAGGAAAAACACAUUUGUCAGUCAAUACCUUUAUACCAGUGCCUUAGUCUAUUUUCUGUUGUUUGUAAUAGAAUAUCUGAAGUGGGAUAGUUUGUAAAUUUUAAAAAAUUAUUUUCACAGUUAUGGAGACUGAGAGGUGUGAGCUCGAGGUGAAUCUGGUGAGAGUCUUAUCGCUGGUGGAGAUUCUCUGCAGGGUUCCAGAGUGGUACAGGGCAUCACACGGCGAGGGGCUAAGUGUGUUUGCAUGUGUUAACUCAGGUCUCUCUUCGUCUUCUUAUAAAGUCACCAGUUUCCCUUGUAUGACAGCCAGGAAUGGAUUAAUAAUAUUAAUGGGGGCACAACCCUUCAUAGUGUCAUCACCUCCCAGAGGUACCACCAGUCAACACUGCCACUUCUGGGUUAUGUCUCAACAUGAGUUCUGGAGGGGACAUUGAAAUCAGAGCAACCAGGUCCCAGGAGACAUAUUAAUUUGCUACAAUAAUGAAAUGAUUUCAAGUACAGAAAUCACACUGAAGUCCCCGUCUGGCUAAGUUCACAGUACUUUACUGCCGUUCCGUAAGAGCCGUCUGUCUUCUGCGCAGUCCAGACAAUCAGCUGAAUGGCAGCAGGGUGGGAAUCAUCCUCCCUCCACUCUUCCAGUCCUUGAUAGUGACACCAACAGUUUGAAGUAAUUUUUUUUGCAAAUGCAAUAUUGCUUUUUAUUUCCUGUUUUCCUCGGCAGAAGCAAUUCUAGUGGCUUCCAUUCGGCUUUUCCUACCAUAAUAGCUCUUGGUCCACAGGUCAAGAGACCCUUGUGGUCAGGACCUGAUGUGUCUAUUCCAAUAAUGCAUUCUGGAACUGAGGGAAACAAGCCCUGGAUGGGUUUUUAGUCAUCAGUUCUACAAUCCCUUACAUUUGGGGUCUCCUGAAAUUAGUGUCAAUUCGGAGCCUGUGUUUAGAAACCCCUGAGAAGUCUGAUGACGUCUUUUUCCCCAGUGCAAAGCCACCCUGGUAAAAGGAUGUGAGCCUCUCCGGGGGAGGAUGGCAGAAAGACUGACAGUAUAAAUGGGUGGCAGUGUAGUGGGGUCUUUCCUCAAGAGGAACUGACCUACCUUUCAUUCAAGCACUUCUGGAUGUGUAAACUGGCACAGAGUGGGAACUGAUUCAGGGGCCAUGGCUCUGCUUUCAUGAUUCAGGUUCAACUUCCGUCCACUUGACCUGGAACUCCUCUGCUUAUACAGAUCAGAUAAGGAUUGAGUGGACUCCACGUCUAUUUAUUUGGCAUCUGGGAACACCGUGAUCAACAAGCCAGUGCCAUGGGCCUCUGCCAGGCAGACUCUCCUGGUGGCAACUUUGACCGUGCUGUUCACUAUUGCAGCCGUACCAGUUUAUCUGGUUAUUAAGGAUUGCCACGUGGCCCUUCCAUGCCCCUCCCACCACAUUUAUUUCCACUGCCUUUAAGGAUCCCAGUUAAGUGACAGCAGUUCCCACUAUGACGUCUGACCUACAGAGAAGAGUGUCCACAGAGCUCUUCCAGGAAAUUCCGCUGCUGGAUACAUGUACAGGAAAUAUAUGCAAGAAAAAUUGCAAAAUGCUAUUGAAAGUGAACACAACCAUACAAAAUAGUCCCCAGAGAGCUUCUUUGUUUCUUUCCAUCAUGUGAGGACACAGUAAGAAUGUCCUGUCUAUGAAAAUCAUGUCAAUAGACUCUCACCAGACACGAAAUCUGCCAGCACCUUCAUCCCAGACUUCUCAGGCUACAGAUCUGUGAGCCACAAAUCACUGCUGUUUCUGCGUCACCCAGUUUGUGGUACUUGGUUAUAGCAGCUUGAAUAAAUGAAGACAGAGAUUGGUACUGAAAAAUGGGGGUGCUGCUGGGUCAUUGGGUAGAGACUACAAGGGUUUUGAAGUGCAUGCUAGAGAAAGCCUGUGUCACCACGAGCAGACCCUGAAGGAUGAUUCCGGUAAGGCCUCAGAACAAGAGGAGGAGUGCUGUAGAGAAAGCCUCCAUCUCCUUAGAGGAUAUCUAAGUGGUCAUGGACAGAACGUUACUAGAAAUAUGGACGAUAAAAGCCGUUCUUAGGGGUCUCAAACAGAAAUCAGAAAUAAGGAACCUGUUAUUGGAAACUGGAGAAAGGUAGUCCUUGUUGUAAAGUGGCAAAGAACUUGGCUGAAUUGACUUUAUGUCCUGGUGUUUUAUGUAAAAUAGAACUGGUGAGUAAUUAAAUAAGAUAUUUGCUGAAAACAUUUCUAAGCCAAGUGUUUAAGGUACGACUUGGUACUCUUGAAUGCUUGUAGUAAAAUAGAACAAGAGAGAAAUCAUUUGAAGAUAGAUUUUUUUUAAUCAAAAGGGAAGCAGAACUGCACAAUUUGGGAAAUUGCCAGUCCAUGUUGCAAAAUAUGAGAAAGCAUGUUCUGGAGAGAACACCAAGGGUGUGGCCGAGUGACCAUUUGGUAAGAUUAGCACAGGUCAGCCAGGUGUUGUUCAUCCAGACAAUGGAAAAAUGACCCUGGAGGCACUUUAGAAACAGCGGGGGCUGCCACUCUCACCACUCACCCACAGUGCAAGAGGCUGGGGGAUAGACUGUUUUUAAAGGAUGGACUGAAUUUUUCCGUAAGACCUUGGCACUCACUUCCUUGUGCUACCUCAAGGCUCUCUCCCCACAUUCUGCAUUCCUGCUCACUGACCACCCCAAGUAGGCUCCAGUGAGCUUAGGUGUGCCAUGUGCCAUGGGUGCCCCUCCAGAGGGCACAGGUAGUAAGCCUUGGUGGUGUCAACAUGGGAUCAGGUCUGCUGGAGUGCAGGUUGCAUGAGCUGUGGGGUGUGGAAGCCUCCGCCUAGAUCUCAAAGGAUGGAGUGGCCCAGAACUUCAGGCACAAGACUGAAGCAGAGGGCUGCUGGAGAGCCAUGGCUAGUGGAGCCAGCAGGGCAGGGCAGCCCAGGAGCCCAGUAGGAUGGAGCUACCAGUGAAUGAUUCCAGUAUGGGAGACCUGCAGGAAUGCAACUCCAACUCACGAGAGCUGCACUGUGGGCUGCACCCAGCAAAGCUGUAGCAGGGGCAGAACAUCCUGGAGCCCUGGGGGAACCAGCCCCUAUGCCACCAUGUUCAGAAGAUAGAACAUCCAGUCGAAGGAGAUUACUCUCGAGGUACAAGGUUUAAUGUUGUUUGUCACAUUCCACUUGCAGUUGCCUGAAACUUUUUACUCCUUUCUUCUUUCCUGGUUCUCCUUUCUGGAAUGGGAAUGUUUACCCUACACCUCUCCAACCACUGUAUUUUGGAAGCACGUAACAUGUUUGAUUUCAUAGGUUUACAGCAAGAGCAGUUUGACUCAGGGUAACUGUACCCUGAAUUUUAUCCAUAUUUGACUCAGAUAACAUUUAAAUUAUACUUCGGAUUACAAUUUUAAAGUUGAUGGUAAAAUGAGCUAAGACAUUUGGGGCUACUGGGGAGAAAUGUAUGUAUUUUGUAUAUGAGAAGGAUGUAGAUUUUAGGGAAACGGAAGCAAGAUAG